UUGUGGAGGAGGACGCCGAAGGUGGGGCUAAUGACUGGGGUGAAGUCGUAACAAGGUAGCCGUACCGGAAGGUGCGGCUGGAUCACCUCCUAACAGGGAGACAACAAAAUGUUUAAUAUUAUUUUGUCACCUUAGGUCGAUCGGUAUCUCACAUUCUUAAUUAUUUAAGGAUUUCAUUUUCUAAGUUUUUCUAGGUCACACCCAUUAUUUUUCCUGGGCCAUUAGCUCAGGUGGUUAGAGCGCACCCCUGAUAAGGGUGAGGUCCCUGGUUCAGGUCCAGGAUGGCCCAUAUCUCUAUGUUGGGGGUAUAGCUCAGUUGGUAGAGCGCCUGCUUUGCAAGCAGGAUGUCAGCGGUUCGAGUCCGCUUACCUCCACUGAUUACCACCUCUUCCAUAUUCUGUAGAAGGGAAAUGUUUUGAGUCGUGAUCAAAUUCUGAACGAAUCUAGCUUCCUAAUAAACUCAUUAAGAUGCUGGACUCAUUAAAUUAAUUUCAUUGUUUUCAGAGAACCUUGACAACUGCAUAGAUUAUUUUUAAAGACAAUAAGCAUCUUUAAUGAUGCAGAUUUAUUAUUUGUGCGAAUGCACUAAUAACAAUUCUAUUAAGCUGAUGCUUCAAUUAUUGAAGUUAUUGGUCAAGCUACAA
rnacentral:misc_RNA from 1 species